GCAAGACAAAGAUUUAGUUCAAUGGAAUAUAACUUGUCUACCAGGAGGUUCCUGGCAAAUACCAGAUCUCUGGCCUAGAUGUUUGCCAUCAAUAAACUGUACGGAACCUCCUCAAAGGCCUCAAUCAGGAACUUGGGAAUGGAAUCACUCAUAUAAAUACCUGACAAAAAUAUUUUACACCUGUGGUCCUUUUGGAAAGUUUAAAACACCUAAUGGAGAGCUAUAUGCUGCCACAACUUCAGUGUGUGCUUGGAAUAAAACCUGGACACCUCCUCUACUGGAUCCUUGUCAAGCAACACAUUGUCAAGAGAUUCCUGCUCCAUCUAGGGAUACAGGUCUUGUCUACCGUCCCGAUCAUAAAAACUCUCUAACAGUUUCAGAAACCAGUCAGUAUAAUCCUGAAAUUCCCGCGAAAUUACCAUUUCCUGGAUCUAGCUUCUGCUCAGCAAAUAUCAAACUUAUGAUUAUUGGAAGCAUUCCCAGCCACGCUAAAUCUAUUCCAGCAAUAUCAAUUGUGGAAAACACUGUCACUGAAGGAUUACAUAUCAAUAUAAAUCUUUAAAAAAAUAUGAUUGAAAGAUACAGUGUUAUCAAUGAAACCAAAUCAGAGGUUGCUGGUGCAACUGGAGAUGGGACAAGUAUAGAUUAUGACGAACCAUUUACUUUAAAUCUGAGCUGUGAUCAAGAUGGCUGGAAUCUUCAAGUUAACACUGAACUUCCAUAUGAUUCUGUUUUACAUGCUGUCCCUUUGGAGAAUUUAACUUUGAUCAAAGUAACUGGUGAUAUAGUCAUUAAUUUCAUUGGGAUUGGAGGCAAAGACUUGAGUCCUGCUCCUCCAAUUGGGUUUAAUAUAACCUAUGUUUGUCCCCCUGGAGAAGUGUUUGAUUCAGAUUGGUUUGCUACACCAUUUGUUUUGACAACAUGUCAGGAAUCUGGCUCUUUUGAUUCAGUUAAAUGGUCUGACUAUAAUUGUGUAUUAC